rnacentral:rRNA from 1 species
CCUACGGGUGGCAGCAGUGAGGAAUAUUGGUCAAUGGACGAGAGUCUGAACCAGCCAAGUAGCGUGAAGGAUGACUGCCCUAUGGGUUGUAAACUUCUUUUAUAUGGGAAUAAAAGGUUCCACGUGUGGGGUUGUGUAUGUACCAUAUGAAUAAGGAUCGGCGAACUCCGUGCCAGCAGCCGCGGUAAUACUGAGAGUACGAGCGUUAACCGGAUUUAUUGGGUUUAAAGGGAGCGUAGGUGGGUUGUUAAGUCAGCGGUCACAUUACGGGGCUAAACCCCGUAAUGCCGUUGACACUGCAUCCCUUGAGUGCGCGAGAAGUAUGCGGAAUGCGUGGUGUAGCGGUGAAAUGCAUAGAUAUCACGAAGAACUCCGAUUGCGAAGGCAGCAUACCGGCGCGCAACUGACGCUCAUGCACGAAAGCGUGGGUAUCGAACAGGAUUAGAUACCCCUGUAGUC